rnacentral:rRNA from 1 species
UGCAGUCGAACGCAGUAGCAAUACUGAGUGGCAGACGGGUGAGUAUAAUGUGGGUAUCUGCCUUUUGGUUUGGAAUAACUUGGGGAAACUCGAGCUAAUACCGGAUAAGCCCUUACGGGGAAAGCUUUAUGCGCCAAGAGAUGAGCCCGCACUUGAUUAGCUUGUUGGUGAGGUAAAGGCUCACCAAGGCAACGAUCAAUAGCUGUUCUUAGAGGAAGACCAGCCACAUUGGGACUGAGACACGGCCCAGACUCCUACGGGAGGCAGCAGUAGGGAAUCUUGCACAAUGGGGGAAACCCUGAUGCAGCGAUGCCGCGUGAGUGAAGAAGGCCUUUGGGUUGUAAAACUCUUUCGUCGGGGAAGAAAAUGACGGUACCCGAAUAAGAAGGUCCGGCUAACUUCGUGCCAGCAGCCGCGGUAAUACGAAGGGAUCUAGCGUAGUUCGGAAUUACUGGGCUUAAAGAGCUCGUAGGUGGUUAAAAAAGUUGAUGGUGAAAUCCCAAGGCUUAACCUUGGAACUGCCAUCAAAACUUUUUAGCUAGAGUAUGAUAGAGGAAAGUGGAAUUUCUAGUGUAGAGGUGAAAUUCGUAGAUAUUAGAAAGAACACCAAAUGCGAAGGCAACUUUCUGGAUCAUUACUGACACUGAGGAGCGAAAGCAUGGGUAGCGAAGAGGAUUAGAUACCCUCGUAGUCCAUGCUGUAAACGAUGUGUGUUA